rnacentral:rRNA from 1 species
GACGAAGGUGGCAAGCGUUACUCGGAAUUACUGAGGCAGUAAGCGGUGGGUGAGGUGGCUCGAUAAGUCUGUUGUGAAAGCUCCUGGCUUAACUGGGAGAGGCCAAUGGAUACUGUCGGGCUUGAAUCUGGGAGAGGUCACUGGAAUUCCUCGGUGUAGCGGUGAAAUGCGCAGAUAUCAGGAGGAACACCGGUGGCGAAGGCGGGACUCUGGGCCGAUACUGACGCUGAGGAGCGAAAGCGUGGGAGCAAACAGG